CACAGCCCCUCUUUUUCCACGUUUCCUUCUUGCUCACUGCCCUCAUUUAGAUCCACUGGGCCAGCAGCAAUCAGCAUAAACAGAUAUGCCUCAUGAAAAGAAAAAGUUCCUAAUGAGAAAACACACGAGUUAGACAAAUUAACCAGGCCUGAGUUUGUUGCUUCUGAGGGUGACUUCAAUGGUGAUGGAUGAAUGGAUGCCGCCUGUUGAGUUCGUGAUGCUUUUCCACAGAAGCACACACACAAGGCAAUGCAUUCAUCAGAUGACGAACAGUCAGGACCCCACGGCUCAUCGCCCCGCAUGUUCUCUAGAACGGCGCAAGCAUCUGAAUUCAGCGUUGGCAAGGCCUUUCUAACGUCAAUGGUAAACGCAGACUACAGCUCAUCAAGCUUUCUGAGGCUUCGCUCACUCCUCGGUGCAUGGGUGAAGAAGUAUUCAAUCAUAUUGGAAGAGACUGGAUUAGACUGGAACACCUUCUGCCUUCACUGCCCCAGUGUUUGAAUCUCAGACAUGUGACACCACAACCAGCUUCCAAAGACUGUUUUAAUUCUGUCAAAAGUCACUGAAGUCCUUUGCCCUAAGGUCAUGGUUUGGGGAUGACUAAAGUCUAUGGCUUGUUUAUUUAGCCCUUUUUACUGGAAUUAAAAUUUGUGUUUCUGUUGAUGACCACACUGUUCCCCACUUCCAUGAAUUAAGAACCCUUAAAUGUUUGCUUGGAGCUGUAAAUUUUCUGCCAGAAAAGGAAUGAAGUGAAACUUCAAAAGUCUCCAAAUGAAAAACU